UGCCAGCCGCCGCGGUAAUACGAGGGGGGCAAGCGUUAUUCGGAAUUACUGGGCGUAAAGCGCGCGCAGGCGGCCUGUUAAGUGAGAAGUGAAAGCCCCGGGCUCAACCUGGGAACGGCUUCUCAUACUGGCAGGCUGGAGUAUGGGAGAGGAAAGUGGAAUUCCCGGUGUAGCGGUGAAAUGCGUAGGGAUCGGGAGGAACACCAGUGGCGAAGGCGGCUUUCUGGACCAUAACUGACGCUGAGGCGCGAAAGCGUGGGGAGCAAACAGGAUUAGAUA
rnacentral:rRNA from 1 species